rnacentral:rRNA from 1 species
CCUACGGGAGGCAGCAGUGAGGAAUAUUGGUCAAUGGGCGCAAGCCUGAACCAGCCAUGCCGCGUGCAGGAAGACGGUCCUAUGGAUUGUAAACUGCUUUUAUACAGGAAGAAACCUCUCUACGUGUAGAGACUUGACGGUACUGUAAGAAUAAGCAUCGGCUAACUCCGUGCCAGCAGCCGCGGUAAU